rnacentral:misc_RNA from 1 species
GGACUACACGGGUUUCUAAUCCUGUUCGCUACCCACACUUUCGCACAUGAGCGUCAGUCUUUGGCCAGGGAGUCGCCUUCGCCACUGAUGUUCCUCCAGAUAUCUACGCAUUUCACCGCUACACCUGGAAUUCCACUCCCCUCUCCAAGACUCUAGUCUGCCAGUUCUAAAUGACCAUCCCAGGUUGAGCCCGGGGCUUUCACAUCUAGCUUAACAAACCGCCUGCGUGCGCUUUACGCCCAGUAAUUCCGAUUAACGCUCGCACCCUCCGUAUUACCGCGGCUGCUGGCACGGAGUUAGCCGGUGCUUCUUCUGUUGUUAACGUCACGGCUGGCAGGUAUUAACUACCAACUUUUCCUCACAACUGAAAGUGCUUUACAACCCGAAGGCCUUCUUCACA